rnacentral:rRNA from 1 species
GGUUAAGUUAACAAGGGCGCAUGGUGAAUGCCUUGGCACUAGGAGCCGAUGAAGGACGGGACUAACACCGAUAUGCUUCGGGGAGCUGUACGUAAGCUAUGAUCCGGAGAUUUCCGAAUGGGGCAACCCAGCAGUUUUAAUCAACUGUUACCACUAGAUGAAUUCAUAGUCUAGUUGGAGGUAAACGCUGUGAACUGAAACAUCUCAUUAGCAGCAGGAAUAUAAAGAAAUUUCGAUUCCCUAAGUAGCGGCGAGCGAACGGGGAACAGCCCAAACCAAAGUGCUUGCACUUUGGGGUUGUAGGACUGAACAUUUGAGUUACCAAAGAACUUGAUAGUCGAAGGAUUUGGGAAAAUCCGCCAUAGAUGGUGAUAGCCCAGUAGAUUAAAUCAAAUUCUCUCAGUUCAGGAUCCUGAGUACGGCGGAACACGUGAAAUUCCGUCGGAAUCCGGGAGGACCAUCUCCCAAGGCUAAAUACUACCUAGUGACCGAUAGUGAACCAGUACCGUGAGGGAAAGGUGAAAAGCACCCCGGGAGGGGAGUGAAAUAGUUCCUGAAACCAUGUGCCUACAAUAAGUCAGAGCGCGUUAAUGCGUGAUGGCGUGCCUUUUGUAGAAUGAACCGGCGAGUUAUGAUCCCGUGCAAGGUUAAGACUAAAAAGUCGGAGCCGUAGCGAAAGCGAGUCUGAAAUGGGCGAUUUGAGUACGAGGUUAUAGACCCGAAACCAGGUGACCUAUCCAUGUCCAGGUUGAAGGUGCGGUAAAACGCACUGGAGGACCGAACCCGUGUAAGUUGAAAAUUGCUGGGAUGAGGUGUGGAUAGCGGUGAAAUUCCAAACGAACUUGGAGAUAGCUGGUUCUCUCCGAAAUAGCUUUAGGGCUAGCCUCGGAUUAAGGAUCAUGGAGGUAGAGCACUAUUUGGACUAGGGGCCCGUCUUGGGUUACUGAAUUCAGAUAAACUCCGAAUGCCAUUGAUUCAUGUCCGGGAGUCAGACGAUGAGUGAUAAGAUCCACCGUCGAAAGGGGAACAGCCCAGACCAUCAGUUAAGGUCCCUAAUGUAUGCUAAGUGGAAAAGGAUGUGGAGUUGCAUAGACAACUAGGAUGUUGGCUCAGAAGCAGCCACCAUUUAAAGAGUGCGUAAUAGCUCACUAGUCGAGUGAUCCUGCGCCGAAAAUGUACCGGGGCUAAGCAUACUACCGAAACCAUGGAUGCGACCAUUAGGUCGCGUGAUAGGAGAGCGUUCUAAGGGCGGUGAAGCAAGAUCGUGAGGACUUGUGGAGCGCUUAGAAGUGAGAAUGCCGGUAUGAGUAGCGAAAGAUAGGUGAGAAUCCUAUCCACCGAAUGACUAAGGUUUCCUGGGGAAGGCUCGUCCUCCCAGGGUUAGUCGGGACCUAAGUCGAGGCCGAGAGGCGUAGACGAUGGAUAACAGGUUGAGAUUCCUGUACUAGUUAAGUGCGUUUGAGCAAUGGAGGGACGCAGGAGGCUAAGAUGUGCAUUCUGUUGGAUUAGAAUGUCCAAGCAGUAAGUCUUGUGGAGAGUCAAAUGCUUUUCACUUUAAGGACAAGCUGUGAUGGGGAGCGAAAUUUAGUAGCGAAGCGUCUGAUGUCACACUGCCGAGAAAAGCUUCUAGUGAGUACUUAACUACCCGUACCGCAAACCGACACAGGUAGUUGAGGAGAGAAUCCUAAGGUGAGCGAGUGAACUCUCGUUAAGGAACUCGGCAAAAUGACCCCGUAACUUCGGGAGAAGGGGUGCUGAUCGCAAGAUCAGCCGCAGUGAAUAGGCCCAGGCGACUGUUUAUCAAAAACACAGGUCUCUGCAAAAUCGUAAGAUGACGUAUAGGGGCUGACGCCUGCCCGGUGCUGGAAGGUUAAAAGGAUGGGUUAGCUUCGGCGAAGCUCAGAAUUGAAGCCCCAGUAAACGGCGGCCGUAACUAUAACGGUCCUAAGGUAGCGAAAUUCCUUGUCGGGUAAGUUCCGACCCGCACGAAAGGCGUAACGAUCUGGGCACUGUCUCAACGAGAGACUCGGUGAAAUUAUAUUGUCCGUGAAGAUGCGGACUACCCGCGACAGGACGGAAAGACCCCAUGGAGCUUUACUGUAGCUUGAUAUUGAGUGUUUGUACAGCUUGUACAGGAUAGGUAGGAGCCAUAGAAACCGGAACGCUAGUUUCGGUGGAGGCGUUGGUGGGAUACUACCCUCGCUGUAUGACCACUCUAACCCGCACCACUAAUCGUGGUGGGAGACAGUGUCAGGUGGGCAGUUUGACUGGGGCGGUCGCCUCCUAAAAAGUAACGGAGGCGCCCAAAGGUUCCCUCAGAAUGGUUGGAAAUCAUUCGCAGAGUGUAAAGGCACAAGGGAGCUUGACUGCGAGACAGACAGGUCGAGCAGGGACGAAAGUCGGGCUUAGUGAUCCGGUGGUACCGUAUGGAAGGGCCAUCGCUCAACGGAUAAAAGCUACCCUGGGGAUAACAGGCUUAUCUCCCCCAAGAGUCCACAUCGACGGGGAGGUUUGGCACCUCGAUGUCGGCUCAUCGCAUCCUGGGGCUGUAGUCGGUCCCAAGGGUUGGGCUGUUCGCCCAUUAAAGCGGUACGCGAGCUGGGUUCAGAACGUCGUGAGACAGUUCGGUCCCUAUCCGUCGCGGGCGUAGGAAAUUUGAGAGGACCUGUCCUUAGUACGAGAGGACCGGGAUGGACAUACCUCUGGUGUACCAGUUGUGCCGCCAGGCGCAUCGCUGGGUAGCUACGUAUGGAUGUGAUAAACGCUGAAAGCAUCUAAGUGUGAAACACACCUCGAGAUGAGAUUUCCCAUUCCUUUAUGGAAGUAAGACCCCUGAAAGAUGAUCAGGUAGAUAGGUUAGAAGUGGCAGUGCGGUGACGCAUGAAGCGGACUAAUACUAAUCGGUCGAGGACUUAACCAA